rnacentral:rRNA from 1 species
AGGUCUGGGAUAACUUCGGGAAACUGAGGCUAAUACCGGAUAGGAAAUUUGUGCUGGAAUGCUUAAUUUCUUAAAAGUUAUGCCUAAAGAUGAGUCGGCGGCGGAUUAGAUUGUUGGAGAGGUAACGGCUCACCAAGUCUAAGAUCCGUAGGGGCCGUGAGAGCGGGGGCCCCGAGAGGAACACUGAGGAACUGGUUCCAGCCCUACGGGGUGCAGCAGGCGCGAAACCUUUACAAUGCACGAAAGUGUGAUAAGGGAAUCCCAAGUGCUCAUGCAUUGGAUGGGCUUUUGCCAAGAGUAAAUACCUUGGCGAAUAAGUGGUGGGUAAGACCGGUGCCAGCAGCCGCGGUAACACCGGCGCCACGAGUGGCAACCGCUUUUAUUGGGCCUAAAGCGUCCGUAGCUGGUUAAAUAAAUUUUUUGUGAAAUUGUCGGGCUUAACUUGACAGCGUGCAGAAAAGACUGUUUGACUAGGGACCGGGAGGAGUUAGAGGUAUUCUGGGGGGAGCGGUAAAAUGUUAUAAUCCCCAGAGGACCACCUGUGGCGAAGGCGUCUAACUAGAACGGAUCCGACAGUGAGGGACGAAGGCCAGGGGAGCAAAACGGAUUAGAUACCCGAGUAGUCCUGGCAGUAAACUCUGUGAGCUAGGUGUUACAUGUCCUUUGAGGGCAUGUAGUGUCGUAGCGAAGGCGUUAAGCUCACCGCCUGGGAAGUACGGUCGCAAGACUGAAACUUAAAGGAAUUGGCGGGGGAGCACUACAAGGGGUGCGGCGUGCGGUUUAAUUUAAUUCAACGCAGAGAACCUCACCAGUAGCGACGGCAGAGUGAAAGUCAGUCUGAAGGGCUUACUUGACGAGCCGAGAGGUAGUGCAUGGCCGCCGUCAGCUCGUGCCGUAAGGUGUCCUGUUAAGUCAGGCAACGAGCGAGACCUGUGCCUACAAUUGCUAGCAGCUAUUUUAUAGGACUGAGCACAUUGUAGGGACUGCCUUGGAAACAAGGAGGAAGGUGCAGGCAACGGUAGGUCUGUAUGCUCCGAAUCUACUGGGCUACACGCGCGCAACAAUGAUAAGGACAAUGGGCUGCAACUCCGAAAGGAGGAGCUAAUCCUCGAAACCUUAUCUAAGUGCAGAUUGAGGGUUGUAACUCACCCUCAUGACGAUGGAAUCCCUAGUAAUCGGACUUCAUCACGGUCCGGUGAAUAUGUCCCUGCUCCUUGCACACACCGCCCGUCAAACCAACCGAGCAGGGUUUAGGUGAGGCUUAGUUAUUUUGAUUGAGUCGAAUCUA